rnacentral:rRNA from 1 species
ACGCAUGCGGCUGCUAUACAUGCAGUCGAGCGAACUGAUUAGAAGCUUGCUUCUAUGACGUUAGCGGCGGACGGGUGAGUAACACGUGGGCAACCUGCCUGUAAGACUGGGAUAACUUCGGGAAACCGAAGCUAAUACCGGAUAGGAUCUUCUCCUUCAUGGGAGAUGAUUGAAAGAUGGUUUCGGCUAUCACUUACAGAUGGGCCCGCGGUGCAUUAGCUAGUUGGUGAGGUAACGGCUCACCAAGGCAACGAUGCAUAGCCGACCUGAGAGGGUGAUCGGCCACACUGGGACUGAGACACGGCCCAGACUCCUACGGGAGGCAGCAGUAGGGAAUCUUCCGCAAUGGACGAAAGUCUGACGGAGCAACGCCGCGUGAGUGAUGAAGGCUUUCGGGUCGUAAAACUCUGUUGUUAGGGAAGAACAAGUACGAGAGUAACUGCUCGUACCUUGACGGUACCUAACCAGAAAGCCACGGCUAACUACGUGCCAGCAGCCGCGGUAAUACGUAGGUGGCAAGCGUUAUCCGGAAUUAUUGGGCGUAAAGCGCGCGCAGGCGGUUUCUUAAGUCUGAUGUGAAAGCCCACGGCUCAACCGUGGAGGGUCAUUGGAAACUGGGGAACUUGAGUGCAGAAGAGAAAAGCGGAAUUCCACGUGUAGCGGUGAAAUGCGUAGAGAUGUGGAGGAACACCAGUGGCGAAGGCGGCUUUUUGGUCUGUAACUGACGCUGAGGCGCGAAAGCGUGGGAGCAAACAGGAUUAGAUACCCUGGUAGUCCACGCCGUAAACGAUGAGUGCUAAGUGUUAGAGGGUUUCCGCCCUUUAGUGCUGCAGCUAACGCAUUAAGCACUCCGCCUGGGGAGUACGGUCGCAAGACUGAAACUCAAAGGAAUUGACGGGGGCCCGCACAAGCGGUGGAGCAUGUGGUUUAAUUCGAAGCAACGCGAAGAACCUUACCAGGUCUUGACAUCCUCUGACACUCUAGAGAUAGAGCGUUCCCCUUCGGGGGACAGAGUGACAGUGUGCAUGGUUGUCGUCAGCUCGUGUCGUGAGAUGUUGGGUUAAGUCCCGCA